UGAAACGCGAUAGCUGAUGCGAAUUGCAUAUAUCUGUGAGUCAUCGAGUCUUUGAACGCAACUUGCACUUGGCAUUGUGCCGAGUAUAGGUGUAAGAGCGCGGGAAUAGGAUGACAAAAGGAAUAAUCUUUUGUUGAUUGAAGGAAGAGAAUUUUCUUUGAAACGCAACCCGCAAAGGGAUCGAGUAGUAGGGAGGUGGGAGGUGAGGGCGGGGGUGAGGGUGAGGGUAAGCUUAGCUUGCUUAGCCUUAGCCUUAACCUAAGCUAAGCUACACACAUACUCAGUACUCGAUUUCAAGGGAAAGUGAAGGAGGCAUCCUCCCCAUUUUACUACUCCGCCUCUUAUCACCUAAGACUACCCGCUGAACUUAA
rnacentral:misc_RNA from 1 species